ensembl:snRNA U2 U2 spliceosomal RNA
CUCGCUUCUCAGCCUUUUGGCUAAGAUCAAGUGUAAUAUCUGACUGCAGCCUGGGAUAAAUAAAACUUCAAAGUCCCCCACCCAAAGGCAAUAGAAGCUAUAAAAGAUGUGAUAUGCACUUUCAAGGAAAUUAUUUUUUCAAAAUUGAGGAAAAUACACUGCUAAUACACAAAUACACUGCCAUAGAUAAUACACUAUUCAUAGUCUUUGGCAAUCUCUA